CGUGGGUAACCUGCCCAAGAGAUCGGGAUAACACCUGGAAACAGAUGCUAAUACCGGAUAACAACAGAUGAUGCCUAUCAACUGUUUAAAAGAUGGUUCUGCUACCACUCUUGGAUGGACCUGCGGUGCAUUAGCUAGUUGGUAGGGUAACGGCCUACCAAGGCGAUGAUGCAUAGCCGAGUUGAGAGACUGAUCGGCCACAUUGGGACUGAGACACGGCCCAAACUCCUACGGGAGGCAGCAGCC
rnacentral:rRNA from 1 species